UAGGGAAUCUUCCGCAAUGGGCGAAAGCCUGACGGAGCAACGCCGCGUGAGUGAUGAAGGUCUUCGGAUCGUAAAACUCUGUUAUUAGGGAAGAACAAAUGUGUAGUAAAUAUGCCCGUCUUGACGGUACCUAAUCAGAAAGCCACGGCUAACUACGUGCCAGCAGCCGCGGUAAUACGUAGGUGGCAAGCGUUAUCCGGAAUUAUUGGGCGUAAAGCGCGCGUAGGCGGUUUUUUAAGUCUGAUGUGAAAGCCCACGGCUCAACCGUGGAGGGUCAUUGGAAACUGGAAAACUUGAGUGCAGAAGAGGAAAGUGGAAUUCCAUGUGUAGCGGUGAAAUGCGCAGAGAUAUGGAGGAACACCAGUGGCGAAGGCGACUUUCUGGUCUGUAACUGACGCUGAUGUGCGAAAGCGUGGGGAUCAAACAGG
rnacentral:rRNA from 1 species